rnacentral:rRNA from 1 species
UACAGAGGUGGCAAGCGUUGUUCGGAAUUACUGGGCGUAAAGGGCGCGUAGGCGGUCUUAUAAGUCUCGUGUGAAAUCCCUCGGCUUAACUGAGGAACUGCACGGGAUACUGCAAGACUUGAGAUCGGGAGAGGGAAGCGGAAUUCCGGGUGUAGCGGUGAAAUGCGUAGAUAUCCGGAGGAACACCGGUGGCGAAGGCGGCUUCCUGGACCGACACUGACGCUGAGGCGCGAAAGCGUGGGGAGCAAACAGG